GUGCAGUAGGACAUGUGAAUGUGCAUAUCCAUUCUCCCAGGACGAAGCAAUGCAGGGUCUAGAAUUUCUCUGUGAUUAGUGGUGAACACAAUGAUUCGUGCUUCUCCAGAGCUCGACCAUAAUCCAUCGAUGCAAUUUAGCAGUGUUGAGAGUGUGAAUGACUUGGCAUGUUUCUUGGCUUGAAGUUGUUCUUCAUCCUCAAUUUUUGACCGAUCACGCACCUCCGAAUUACAAUCUAUGUCUUCUACUACGAGUAUUGACCGAUUAGUGGUGCUUAACAUCACCUUUCUUAGCUCAACGCUAGAAGAAAUACUGGAAAGGUCCAAGUCAUAAAUAUCAAAGUUCAAGUAAUUAGCCAUGGCUGCAAUUAGGCU
rnacentral:misc_RNA from 1 species